rnacentral:lncRNA from 1 species
CCUGGAUUGCUUCUAGAUAGAGGCGCAUACUUUUUUGAUCAAGUAAAAAGCCAAAUCUAUCAAGGACCCGAUGAUGCGGCGGCCGAAGAAGAAACACCUCCGAUUAUGAGUGACAUGGAUUACAGUCUUCUCUGCCCUUUUGGUGAUCAAACAAGCGAAAGCUCUGAAGAUGAAGACAGUCCAUUCUGGCCACCUCGGACUGAUGACAUGCUAAUAGAUGCAGGACAAAGCUCUGCCGAACAAGAAACACCCGUCUAUCGCUGGGACCCUUUUACCCUCAUGUACAAACUUGAAAGCCUAUUUCCCAAAGAGGAGCAUGAAGCCGAAGAAGACACACCUGACAAACUUGCCACGCAUGGCACUUGUCGCUUGGAAACUAACACUGAGGACAUCAAGAAACCAGAAAGCCCUAAAUUGCCAGGACGGCAAAUAGAUGGAGGAUCAGGCUGGGGAAGCUCUGAAGAACCUUGUCCCAAAAGGCAUAAGGCUGAAGAAAACACCUGAGAAGCUUGCCAUGUAUCGCAAUUUUCUUUUGGAACCUAUGACUCUGGACAUGAACAAACUAGAAAGCCCUGAAUGGACAGGAUGGUGGCAAAUAGGUGGAGGAGUAUGUUCUUGCCCAUUUGAUGAUAAAAACAUGUCUUGCUUAGAGCAGAAGAGAAACAAAAGAAGUUAGCAUGUCCUUGCUUAGGUCUUAGUCUCCUGGUUAUAUGUCAUGUCUCUGUAAUAAUGUGGUUUAAGAGACGAUUCAUUUUCACCCUUAAGAUGUUUCAUCAUCCUUGGGUCACAUUGUGGUUAAAGCUUCUAGUGAGGCAAUGUGGUCACAAUUUGACUGUAUAAGAAUCAUUUGGUUAAUGUUGACUUUGAGCCAAUAAAAAAAAAAGAAGUUAGCAAAUCCUAUAGGAAGAUUUUUUUGGUUCUUUUAGCAAAUCAUUGAUAUAGAUUCUGAUAAUGAGGAGGAUUGCGAAUAUGCAUGUUUGGACAGGGAUUUCAAAACAUUUUAGGGUUUCCAAAAAAAAAAGGAAAAAAAAUGCACAGAUCCGUUGGUUGAAUAUGUGUGCAACACCCUUGAUAUUUUCCUUUUUAUUUGAGAUCCAAAGGGCUAAAAAAAUGCCCUCUCUCAUCAGUUAUGAAUUAAGGAUAUUUUCAUAAAUAGAAAAGGAAAUCAGAGUUUUGAAACUAUUAUAAAUAUGGGUGCAAUGGAUUGUAAAUUAUUCAUUCACAUUAUCCAUAUACAAAUUCUAAACAGAUAUUUGUUUAUUUUAUUCAGAGUUUUGAAACAGCGUUUUGCAUUCGUAGGUUUUUUUUUCUAACUAUUUUUUAAAUUUAAUUCGACUUUGUUGUUCAUUCACAACAAACCCUAACUUAGCAAGAAAAAGUCUUCAAUUCUCAUACCCAUCUCUCCGUAGAACCGAACCAUGGGCGAAGACGAGACCAUCGAUUUUGAGUCGUGUAAGAUCUCUCUCCAUCUCUUACCCGUAAAUUGUUUUGUUAGAUUUCAAUUGAUCGAUUAUAGCAAACUAAUGGUUUUUAAUUUUUCGUUUAUGCCUUGUCUGCAGUGAAGCAGACACUGGUGUUCUGGAACAUGGAUGAUUACCCAAUCCCUGUUGAUACUACAGAUGAUCUUGGUCCUGUUUUUGGUGAUAUCUCAAAAGCUCUUGAUCUAAUGGGUUUUCGUCUCGGUUUUAUGGACGUGAGAUUGUACUCUGAGCAACACAACUACGACAAAAAAUCGGCCGAUAUAAUCCGCCCAUCCUUACCCACAUGUAAGCUCCUCACAACAACACUCUUGUCUUUUGCUUGUCUUUUCUAUUUUAAUUAUUAUUAUGUAAUCGGAGUUGUUUCUCUGUUGUUUAUUAGGUCGGUCUUAUUCGGGUUGUGUUUACAAAGUGCCGGAUAUCACUUUGCAUAUGAUUCGUCACGCAUUAUACCUUGGACCAGGACCAGUGAAUUUUUUUGUAAUCGCCAAACCACAAAGGGAGUUACUCAGGGUUCUGCAGUGUUUGAAAUUGAGGCGUCACAAUGUUCUUCUAGUAAAGCCACCGCCGCCUGAUGAAGAAUGUCUCUUUAGUGUUGACUCUCUGCUUAAAUAUGCACGACUUUUAGGUGGAGGAAAGCCUAGAUACAACCCUUUACAAGGUUAUAUGGAUGAGUUUGAUAGCUCUCUAGAAAAGUAUAUAGAGAUCAAAGAAGAUGUCUCCAAGACGGUAGAUUUCUCCGGUAAGACCCCAAAUUGUUUUUUUAGAUUUUUUCUAUCUUUGAAAAUUUAUUAUAAAUGGUAUUUUAUUUGUCCUCUCUUUAUUGCAUGUAUGUAUGGCUCAGAGCGUAUCCCAACCGUCAAAGGGCCUAGGACAGCCGUCUUCUGGGACGCCGUGGAUUUCCCUUUCCCUCCUUCUUCCACCCCUGAUGAGAUCUACCACUCUAUCUCAUCAGCUCUUGUUGAAAGGGAGUUUAGUGAUAACAUUACAAUCUGGGCCUAUCUUGAUGAUGAUGCCGACAAGAAAGGGUCUUGGCUGGGUGGUGACAAGACGUGGGCUUCCAGAAUCUACUUUCUUCCUGGAGGUGAUCAUUUCCCCCUCUCUUUUUCUUUAUAUCUAUCUCCCUUCCAUUGAUAAUAGUGUAUACAUUUUUAUAUUAUUUUCCAGGGGAUAACGCCUCUAGACGUAUCAGAAUGAUAAAUGACAUUAAUUUAUGGAUGAGGGACUCUCCCAAGAUGACCACGAGUUAUGAAGCUAGUUUGGUCCUAUUCUCAGACCAGUUCAAAGAUGACGACGUCUACUACAGAGAUAUGCUUCAACGAUUGGGUAACAUGCGUUACUAUGUUCUCUUAGUCACUCCGGCUCUGGACAUCAACAAACCAGAAACCCCUGGAUGGCCUGGAUUGCUUAUAGAUAGAGGCGCAUACUUUUUUGAUGAAGUGAAAAUCCAAAUCUAUCAAGGACCCGAUGCUGCGGCGGCGGCCGAAGAAGAAACACCUCCGAUUAUGAGUGACAUGGAUUACAGUCUUCUCUGCCCUUUUGGUGAUCAAAAAAGCGACAGCUCUGAAGAUGAAGACAGUCCAUUCUGGCCACCUCGGACUGAUGACAUGGUAAUAGAUGGAGGACAAACCUCUGCCGAACAAGAAACACCCGUCUAUCGCUGGGAUCCUUUUACUCUCAUGUACAAACUUGAAAGCCUAUUUCCCAAAGAGAAUGAAGCCGAUACCGAAGAAGAAGAGACACCUGACAAGCUUGCC